CAAAGCCUCAUGCGGAUGAAGUAGGACUUUCUUUUUCAGAGACAGACCCUGUACUUAAGGGAGCCCUAGAGGGAGACUGGAAAGCCAGAGGAAGGAGUUGGUACCUUCCCCUUCUUGUUGCUGAUUAGUCUCUUCAAAAUCACUGCACAACGAUUCUUCAUCCAGCAGCAACAAUUCACUCCUGUUUCAGGGAGACAAACCCAGGUUUGGAAAGGAGCUUUUAAAAUCAUUGGAAUUUCCCAGAGCAUCUGUUACCUACAAAUCCCUUGGUCCACACCUGAGUUCAUGUUAAUGAGAUGGUUUUGAAUAGAGAUUGGAUACCAGGCAGGCCAAUGUGUGAAAAGAGGGCUGGUGCUUUGAGCCCCAGGAGGGUGAAGGGGUGGAGAUUGAGUUAUCAGUUAUGCCUGCAUAAUGUGAAGCUCAUUAAGCUUCUUGGCUGGUGAACACAAUGAGAAGAAGAAUAUGUCAUGAUCCACCCACAGAGAGGAUCCGCAUGCAGGACCCACCCAGACCUCACCGUAAGUCUCUUCAUUUGUCUAAUCCUGAUCUACAUCCUUAGGAUAAAAUCAUGAAUAUGGC
ensembl:lncRNA